AGAGGGUUCAAACUCUGCAUUGUAUGCACUUUUCAUUAUCCCUGUCAUACUGUGGAUACUGUUUCUGCUUUACUUUAUAUUUUGCAGGAAAAUUGAGAUGAAAGGUGAAGAUAUGACAGCAGUAGAAGGCAACGUAUCACUUGCAAUGAGAAAAAAAUAUCGUCCUAGUAUCGCCCACUUUAACACUUUCCAGUGGGACUUAGCAGUAAAAAAUGAAGAGAAAAACAAGGAGGAAUGGAAAACACAGGGAAAACCUGGUUCACCUCCCAAGCUCUGCAGUAAUACUACAUUUUUCUUCAAGUAUAUUCUCCGUUGCUGUUUCUACUUUUGUGGAAUUUGUUGUAUUGAAUACUUUGGAAAAUAUGAAAAUGGUGACUUGGGAAAGAAAAGUAA